GAGGAAGUAAAAGUCGUAACAAGGUUUCCGUAGGUGAACCUGCGGAAGGAUCAUUAACGAAUUGCGUUCGAGGUUGUUGCUGGCUUCCCCCAAGAAGCAUGUGCACACCUUGUAAUCCAUUUCAACCUCACUCGUGCACUUCAGAGGACCGUCAGGUUCUCUUUUAUUACACAAACCUUUAUUAUUGUCCAUGUAGAACGUGUUUAUUAAACAUAAUACAACUUUCAACAACGGAUCUCUUGGCUCUCGCAUCGAUGAAGAACGCAGCGAAAUGCGAUAAGUAAUGUGAAUUGCAGAAUUCAGUGAAUCAUCGAAUCUUUGAACGCACCUUGCGCUCCUUGGUAUUCCGAGGAGCAUGCCUGUUUGAGUGUYGUGUAAUUCUCAAUCCCGUUUGGUUUUGAAUCAGACGUGGCUUGGAUUUGGGAGCUUGCUGGUACCCUGCAUUGUGGGGUUCGGCUCUCCUUGAAUGCAUUAGCUCGGUCACGUUAGUUGCCCGACGGUUCACGGUGUGAUAGUCUAACUUCAUCGCCGUUGUGACCGCCUCGGUGCCUGUGCCUGCCGGCUUCUAAUCUGCUGUGUCUCUUUAGAUGCGCAUACACUUUGACAAUUGACCUCAAAUCAGGUAGGACUACCCGCUGAACUUAAGCAUAUC
rnacentral:rRNA from 1 species